rnacentral:lncRNA from 12 species
GUAUAAAUAAGUUGAACUAUCUUGAUGACAAUGCCUGCUGCAUGUGGUAUCUUGGUGUAGUUCUAAAAGUGUUACUCAAUGAGGAAGCUGGUCCAGUGGUCCUUCUGGUGCCCGAUGGUGAGACUGGUGAGUGUAUUGCUAGAGUCUGGGAAGAAAUGACAGUGCAAUCUGUGCUCAGUGAUGGAAAUUUCUCCCAAGUGGUAUUCCUAAGAGUCCUGGUGAUUUAAUCUAUUUGGUAUGUGGCUGUUGGGCAACAAGAAAUGUCUUUCCUUGUAUGCUAAAAGGUAUAGCGUUUGUUG